CUUCCAGUUCUCUUAUGUAGCUGUUAGUAGGAUCAGAUGGGAGGACACUGUAACAUGACUGGUCAUUUAGAUGUGACGUGCACAUUUCAAGCUAUCUGUCAUGGUUUAGUAGAACGAUAUUCCCUCCUUUAUCCGCUGGUUUAAUUACAACAUUAUCCAACAUAUUUAGUGAAUAAAGGGCUUUCCUCUCAUUGUGAGUAAGAUUGUUGGUGGGUGGAUGUUCAAAGUGACUAUUUUCUAGUUCACUAGUAGUCAUUUCUACGAAAAGUUAAACAUGUGGGGUAUCCUUCAGGGUAGGAGUAAACCAACUUUGAGGUUUUAAAUUGGUCAAGGGUUUACUGGGACUUUGUUCAUCCAAUAGAUCCGUAAAUACUUUGGAGAAUACAU